GUCAUAUGCUUGUCUCAAAGAUUAAGCCAUGCAUGUCUGAGUACAGACCGAUCUAAGGUGAAACCGCGAAUGGCUCAUUAAAUCAGUCAUAAUUCCUUGGAUAGUGAUAAACUUCCUCGGAUAACUGUGGAAAAUCCAGAGCUAAUACGUGCAACUGAGCUCCGACCUCGGCGCGAGUCGAGGGAAGAGCGCAUUUAUUAGAUUCAAAACUGACCGGCGUCUUCCUUCGGGAUUCGCCGCUCGUCAUAAUUGAUGACUCGGGAUAACUAAGCCGAGCGCUACGGUCUUCGUACCGGCGCCGUAUCUUUCAAGUGUCUGCCUUAUCAGCUUUCGAUUGUAGGUUAAACGCCUACAAUGGCUGUAACGGGUAACGGGGAAUCAGGGUUCGAUUCCGGAGAGGGAGCCUGAGAAACGGCUACCACAUCUAAGGAAGGCAGCAGGCACGCAAAUUACCCACUCCCGGCACGGGGAGGUAGUGACGAAAAAUAACGAUGCGAGACUCUUCCGAGGCCUCGCAAUCGGAAUGAGUCCAAUCUAAAUCCUUGGACGAGGAUCCAUUGGAGGGCAAGUCUGGUGCCAGCAGCCGCGGUAAUUCCAGCUCCAAUAGCGUAUAUGCAAGUUGCUGCGGUUAAAAAGCUCGUAGUUGGAUCUCCUAGAUCCACUUCGCGGGCGGGUCGCUUCGUAGUACGAGCGCUCUUCGCGGUUCUUCUCGGGUUCUCGCUAUUUAGCGAGUUUCGUGCGACGACCUCGCGCGUCCGACUGUCGACAGGUGUUUUAUCCUUAGACUAUCGGCCGCGAACGACGUUUCGAUUCCGCUUGUAGUGCUCCUCGUUUCGAACGGUCGAGCCGAGUCUCGGAGUAUAGCCCGUCCGCGUUUGGUACAAUUACAAAUUUGUCGGCUCGCUCGGAGUGCUCUUUACCGAGUGUUCCAGGGUGGCCGACACGUUCACUUUGAAAAAAUUAGAGUGCUUAAAGCGGGCUAAAAUGUCGCCCGAAUGUUGUUGCAUGGAAUGAAGGAACAGGACCUCGGUUCUGUUCUUUUUUGUCGGUUUUAAUGAACCGAGGUAAUGAUUAAAAGGAACAGACGGUGGCAUUAGUAUUGCGACGCUAGAGGUGAAAUUCUUGGACCGUCGCAAGACUAACUACUGCGAAAGCAUUUGCCGAGAAUGUUUCAUUAAUCAAGAACGAAAGUUAGAGGAUCGAAGGCGAUCAGAUACCGCCCUAGUUCUAACCCUAAACUAUGCUAACUAGCGAUCCGUCGGAGUCAUUCCCACGACCCGACGGGAAGCCCCAGGGAAACCAAAGUCUUUGAGUUCCGGGGGAAGUAUGGUUGCAAAGCUGAAACUUAAAGGAAUUGACGGAAGGGACCACCAGGAGUGGACUGCGGCUUAAUUUGACUCAACACGGGAAACCUCACCAGGCCCGGACAUCAGAAGGACUGACAGAUUGAGAGCUCUUUCUCGAUUCGAUGGGUGGUGGUGCAUGGCCGUUCUUAGUUGGUGGAGUGAUCUGUCUGGUUGAUUCCGAUAACGAACGAGACUCUACCCUACUAACUAGUCGGCGGAUCGUAACCCUGAGAUGGGGGAAGUCUUAUGGCGGCGCUCGUUUAGUCCCGGCGUUUCCCCUGGCGUUCGUGCGAAGGGUGGGCGCGCGUGUGUGUCGUUCUUUCGGGUUCGGCAUCGCGCGUGUUCUAUCCCCGAGUGCGUGUCGUUGGGAAGGAGCGUCGACGACGGCGAUGGGUGUUGUCGAGGCGACUCUUACUGGGGGCGUCCGCCGCAAUGUAUCUUCUUAGAGGGAUCAGCGGCGUCUAGCCGCACGAGAAAGAGCAAUAACAGGUCUGUGAUGCCCUUAGAUGUUCUGGGCCGCACGCGCGCUACAAUGUAGGGCUCAGCGUGCUUUCCCCCUCCGAAAGGAGCGGGUAACCCGUUGAAACCCCUACCCGAUUGGGAUUGGGGAUUGCAAAUGUUUCCCAUAAACGAGGAAUUCCCAGUAAGCGCGAAUCAUUAAUUCGCGCUGAUUACGUCCCUGCCCUUUGUACACACCGCCCGUCGCUACUACCGAUUGAAUGAUUCAGUGAGGGCAUCGGACUGGCGCUUCGGUUGAAACAUACCUUAGGCUGACGGAAAGAUGUCCGAACUUGAUCAUUUAGAGGAAGUAAAAGUCGUAACAAGGUUUCCGUAGUGAACCUGCGGAAGGA
rnacentral:rRNA from 1 species